UGACAGUGUACAUGGUGCUGAUGGGCAUCACCAGGAUGGACACAAGCAGGAAGCUCCCGCCGGGUCCUACCGCCCUAUCUCCCCGCUUCCCACCCUGGGCCAUCCUCCCAGCCCUGACAACCUGGAGCUGCAUUUCUGGUCAGGGGAAGAAGGCGUCCUGUUCUCGCCUCUACGGACAUCAGAGCUUGCUGCGCUGACCUCCAGUGAGACCCAUGUCCUUAGCCAUGGUCACAGGUUUAGUCCAGCAGUCUGGCCCUAGGCUCCUGCCUACCACUCCCACCCUAGGAGGCCAG
rnacentral:lncRNA from 1 species